UACGUAGGGUGCAAGCGUUGUCCGGAAUUAUUGGGCGUAAAGAGCUCGUAGGUGGCCUGUCGCGUCGGCUGUGAAAACUCGGGGCUCAACUCCGAGCUUGCAGUCGAUACGGGCAGGCUAGAGUUCGGCAGGGGAGACUGGAAUUCCUGGUGUAGCGGUGGAAUGCGCAGAUAUCAGGAGGAACACCGGUGGCGAAGGCGGGUCUCUGGGCCGAUACUGACGCUGAGAAGCGAAAGCGUGGGGAGCGAACAGG
rnacentral:rRNA from 1 species